rnacentral:misc_RNA from 1 species
AAUUCUCAACUAUACAAGUUUUUGAAACGUGUAUGGCUUGGAUCUUGGGAUUUGCGGGCUUUCACAAGUCGGCUAUCCUUAAAUGCAGUAGCAGAGCUUUUGUCGCUGAUCUCUGGUGUGAUAAUUAUCUACGCCAUUAUGAAGCGGCAUGAAUAGAGCUUUGCUUCUAAUCGUCCUUGGGACAAUAUUUGACA